rnacentral:rRNA from 1 species
CAGAUACCAUUUGAGAGGGUUGGGUGAUCUUGAGAUAACAUAAGGGAAAAUCAUGAUGGUACCUUAUUAUUAGUGCUGUCCAAAGCUGGUGCCAGAAGACUCGGUAAGGCCAGAAGCGCAAACGUUAGUAGUCUUAAAAAGGCGUAAAGGGUUCGUAGGCAGCUUUAACCUCUACUUUAACAAAAGCCUCUUAAUAAUACUAAUAUACCCCUUUCAAUUCUCUAAUAAUAGAGUUUUGAUUAAAAGGUUUACCCCCAGAUAACUCCACGUAAAGGCCAAUUAGUGCUAAGCACGGCUGGUUGUUAGACCAUUAUUAUGUAGUAAAGAUUAGACAAAUAAAAGCUAGAAUCAAAUAGAAGAUAUAUUAAAUAAUACUUAGAGGAGGGAUGAUAUCCUAAGAACCUAAGGGGAAUACUCAAGGCGUAAGCUAUUUUUCUACUAAUGAUUGACGCUGAGGAACGAAGGUGAGGAUAGGAAACAGGAUUAGAUACCCAAUUACCCCUCUCUGUCAACGAUGAAUGGUGGUCAUUAGGCGUUAAAAAACACUAGUGGCGAUGCUAACGCGAUAACCAUUCCGCCUUGUGAGUACGGCUGCAAAGUUGAAAACAAAAAAAUUAGUCGGUCUCGAAGCAAACGAAGUGAAGCAUGUUAUUUAAUACGAUAAUCCGCGUAAAACCUUACCAGUUCUUGCAUACAAACUCUUUAUUCUCCUAAAUCUCUCUAUAUUAAGGUAAAACUUUCUAAUUUACCAAAAAUGUCGUAAGAUGAGGGAGGCCCAAAUACUGAGGAGCUUAUAUAAAUUCAUUUUAUACUCUUAAGCUUAGUACAGGUGUUGCAUGGCUGUCGUCAGUCCGUAUUGUGAAAAGUUAGGUUAAAUCCACUAACGGACAAAAUCCCUGUUGUUAAUUUACACUUAACAAUUAAUGGUUCUGAUAGAGUCCAUUGGGCUAAGAC